rnacentral:rRNA from 1 species
GCUGGCGGCGUGCCUAAAUACAUGCAAGUCGAGCGAGCGGAACUAACAGAUUUACUUCGGUAAUGACGUUAGGAAAGCGAGCGGCGGAUGGGUGAGUAAACACGUGGGGAACCCUGCCCAUAGGUCUGGGGAUACCACUUGGAAACAGGUGCUAAUACCGGAUAAGAAAGCAGAUCGCAUGAUCAAACUUUUAAAAAGGCGGCGUAAGCUGUCGCUAUGGGAUGGCCCCGCGGUGCAUUAGUUAGUUGGUAAGGUAAAGGCUUACCAAGGCGAUGAUGCAUAGCCGAGUUGAGAGACUGAUCGGCCACAUUGGGACUGAGACACGGCCCAAACUCCUACGGGAGGCAGCAGUAGGGAAAUCUUCCACAAUGGACGCAAGUCUGAUGGAGCAACGCCGCGUGAGUGAAGAAGGUUUUCGGAUCGUAAAGCUCUGUUGUUGGUGAAGAAGGAUAGAGGUAGUAACUGGCCUUUAUUUGACGGUAAUCAACCAGAAAGUCACGGCUAACUACGUGCCAGCAGCCGCGGUAAU